rnacentral:rRNA from 1 species
AGCUCUGUAAGCGUAUACCAAAGUUGUUGCAGUUAAAACGCUCGUAGUCGAAUUUUGGCGGGCGACGCAGGACGUCCGCGAGGACGAUUUUGCGUUGGCCGCCUUUGUGGAUGGUGGAUUAGUGGUUCUUCAUUGAAUUGUUGAUUCGCCGCCACCGUUUACUGUGAAAAAAUUAGAGUGUUCAAAGCGGGCGCAUUGCCAUGAAUACAUUAGCAUGGAAUAAUAGAAUAGGACCUGGUCUUAUUUUGUUGGUUUGUUAAAAUCAGGUAAUGAUUAAAAGGGACGGUCGGGGGCACUUGUAUUCCGGGGUUAGAGGUGAAAUUCUUAGAUCCUCGGAAGACAAACAGCUGCGAAAGCGUUUGCCAAGGACGUUUUCAUUGAUCAAGAACGAAAGUACGCA